UCUUUCGUCGGGGAAGAAAAUGACUGUACCCGAAUAAGAAGGUCCGGCUAACUUCGUGCCAGCAGCCGCGGUAAUACGAAGGGACCUAGCGUAGUUCGGAAUUACUGGGCUUAAAGAGUUCGUAGGUGGUUGAAAAAGUUGGUGGUGAAAUCCCAGAGCUUAACUCUGGAACUGCCAUCAAAACUUUUCAGCUAGAGUAUGAUAGAGGAAAGCAGAAUUUCUAGUGUAGAGGUGAAAUUCGUAGAUAUUAGAAAGAAUACCAAUUGCGAAGGCAGCUUUCUGGAUCAUUACUGACACUGAGGAACGAAAGCAUGGGUAGCGAAGAGGAUUAGAUACCCUCGUAGUCCAUGCCGUAAACGAUGUGUGUUAGACGUUGGAAAUUUAUUUUCAGUGUCGCAGGGAAACCGAUAAACACACCGCCUGGGGAGUACGACCGCAAGGUUAAAACUCAAAUGAAUUGACGGGGACCCGCACAAGUAGUGGAGCAUGUGGUUUAAUUCGAAGAUACGCGCAGAACCUUACCAACACUUGACAUGUUCGUCGCGACUCUAAGAGAUUAGAGUUUUCGGUUCGGCCGGACGAAACACAGGUGCUGCAUGGCUGUCGUCAGCUCGUGUCGUGAGAUGUUGGGUUAAGUCCCGCAACGAGCGCAACCCUCACUUUUAGUUGCCAUCAUUAAGUUGGGCACUCUGAAAGAACUGCCAGUGAUAAGCUGGAGGAAGGUGGGGAUGACGUCAAGUCCUCAUGGCCCUUACGUGUUGGGCUACACACGUGCUACAAUGGUAUCUACAACAGGAAGCAAGACUGCGAAGUUAAGCAAAUCCCUAAAAGAUACCUCAGUUCGGAUUGCACUCUGCAACUCGAGUGCAUGAAGCUGGAAUUACUAGUAAUCGUGGAUCAGCGUGCCACGGUGAAUGCGUUCCCGGGUCUUGUACACACCGCCCGUCACACCAUGGGAGUUGGUUCUACCUUAAGGCAAGGUUUUAAACCCUUGACCACGGUAUAGUCAGCGACUGGGGUGAAGUCGUAACAAGGUAGCCGUAGGGGAACCUGCGGCUG
rnacentral:rRNA from 1 species